rnacentral:rRNA from 1 species
CAGGUUUACCUGUGUGACUGCGUACCUUUUGUAUAAUGGGUCAGCGACUUAUAUUCUGUAGCAAGGUUAACCGAAUAGGGGAGCCGUAGGGAAACCGAGUCUUAACCGGGCGUUAAGUUGCAGGGUAUAGACCCGAAACCCGGUGAUCUAGCCAUGGGCAGGUUGAAGGUUGGGUAACACUAACUGGAGGACCGAACCGACUAAUGUUGAAAAAUUAGCGGAUGACCUGUGGCUGGGGGUGAAAGGCCAAUCAAACCGGGAGAUAGCUGGUUCUCCCCGAAAGCUAUUUAGGUAGCGCCUCGUGAAUUCAUCUCCGGGGGUAGAGCACUGUUUCGGCUAGGGGGCCAUCCCGGCUUACCAACCCGAUGCAAACUGCGAAUACCGGAGAAUGUUAUCACGGGAGACACACGGCGGGUGCUAACGUCCGUCGUGAAGAGGGAAACAACCCAGACCGCCAGCUAAGGUCCCAAAGUCAUGGUUAAGUGGGAAACGAUGUGGGAAGGCCCAGACAGCCAGGAUGUUGGCUUAGAAGCAGCCAUCAUUUAAAGAAAGCGUAAUAGCUCACUGGUCGAGUCGGCCUGCGCGGAAGAUGUAACGGGGCUAAACCAUGCAC